GGGGUUGUGGCUCAGUGGUAGAGCACAUACCUAGCACAUGUGAGGCACUGGGUUCCAUCCCCAGCACCACA
rnacentral:tRNA from 1 species